UACGUAGGGGGCUAGCGUUGUCCGGAAUCAUUGGGCGUAAAGAGCGUGUAGGCGGUCCGGUAAGUCCGCUGUGAAAGUCGGGGGCUCAACCCUCGAAUGCCGGUGGAUACUGUCGGGCUAGAGUGCGGAAGAGGCGAGUGGAAUUCCUGGUGUAGCGGUGAAAUGCAUUGAGAUCGGAAAGAACACCAACGCGAAAGCACUCUGCUGGGCCGACACU
rnacentral:rRNA from 1 species